UCCAAGUCCAGCACAGAGCCCACUGCGAGGCUCAAUAAUCACGACCCUGAGAGCAAGACCAGAGCUGAGAUCAAGUGUCAGAUGCUUAACCACCUGAGCCACCCAGGCAUACCUCACAGAUACUGGGAUUUGAUUCCAGAACACUGCAAUAGACUAAAUAUCACAAUAAAGUGAGUCAAGUGAA